AGUGAACGCUGGCGGUAGGCCUAACACAUGCAAGUCGAACGGCAGCACAGGAGAGCUUGCUCUCUGGGUGGCGAGUGGCGGACGGGUGAGGAAUACAUCGGAAUCUACUCUGUCGUGGGGGAUAACGUAGGGAAACUUACGCUAAUACCGCAUACGACCUACGGGUGAAAGCAGGGGAUCUUCGGACCUUGCGCGAUUGAAUGAGCCGAUGUCGGAUUAGCUAGUUGGCGGGGUAAAGGCCCACCAAGGCGACGAUCCGUAGCUGGUCUGAGAGGAGGAUCAGCCACACUGGAACUGGGACACGGGCCAGACUCCUACGGGAGGCAGCAGUGGGGAAUAUUGGACAAUGGGCGCAAGCUGAUUCAGCCAUACCGCGUGGGGGAAGAAGGCCUUCGGGUUGUAAAGCCCUUUUGUUGGGAAAGAAAUCCAGCUGGCUAAUACCCGGUUGGGAUGACGGUACCCAAAGAAUAAGCACCGGCUAACUUCGUGCCAGCCGCCGCCGUAA
rnacentral:rRNA from 1 species